rnacentral:lncRNA from 1 species
UGCAUUAGAUCUGCAUGACUUUAUUAAUAAGUAUAAUUCUAGGUAACAUGACUGAUAAGCUACUAUAAAUAAAGAUGUGAUCUCUUCAAAGUCAGCUGUUAUCAUUAAAUUUUAGGAGUCUACACUGCUGUUAAGUGAAUUAGAAUAAAAAUUUUGCUAAGCAUAAAAGAAACAAACUUGCUUAUAGAACCCAAAACUACCAGCCCAGGGAUGGCACCACUGACAAUGGGCUGGCCCUUCCCCCUUGAUCACUAAUUGAGAAAAUACCUUACAGCUGGAUCUCAUGGAGGUAUUUCCUCAGGGGAGGCUCCUUUUCUCUGUGAUAACUCCAGCUUAUGUCAAGUUGACACACAAAAAACAGCCAUUACAGGGGAACCUGGGACAGAAUCAGCAGAAAGCCAUCAUACAUUCUAUGUGCUAAUUGGGGAUAUGGUAGUAGGGAUUGAGUAUGCAGCCAAUAAGCUGCCAGUAGUAGAGAAGAAGGGAGGAAUCUCAACAGGCUUUGCUUGUUGGGUGUUUCAACGUUUGUUUUUUCUCCUAACCACAGGAACCACAGUCUCUCUUGAAACAACUAAUAGUCUUUUGGAUUUAUUGUGUUACUAUGGUGAUCAAGAGCCCCCAGCUGACUAUCCUUUUCAACAAACCGAACAUUUGGAAAACUUGGUAAAAAAAAAAAAAAAAA